rnacentral:rRNA from 1 species
CAGUAGCCACGGUAAUACGGAGGGAGCUAGCGUUGUUCGGAAUUACUGGGCGUAAAGCGCACGUAGGCGGCUUUGUAAGUCAGAGGUGAAAGCCUGGAGCUCAACUCCAGAACUGCCUUUGAGACUGCAUCGCUUGAAUCCAGGAGAGGUGAGUGGAAUUCCGAGUGUAGAGGUGAAAUUCGUAGAUAUUCGGAAGAACACCAGUGGCGAAGGCGGCUCACUGGACUGGUAUUGACGCUGAGGUGCGAAAGCGUGGGGAGCAAACAGGAUUAGAGACCCCGGUAGUCCCUGUCUCUUAUAA